UUAGAGUUUGACCUGGCUCAGGACGAACGCUGGCGGCGUGCCUAAUACAUGCAAGUCGAGCGAGCUGAACCAGCAGAUUCACUUCGGUGAUGACGCUGGGAACGCGAGCGGCGGAUGGGUGAGUAACACGUGGGUAACCUGCCCUAAAGUCUGGGAUACCACUUGGAAACAGGUGCUAAUACCGGAUAACAACAAUAGCUGCAUGGCUAUUGCUUAAAAGGCGGCGAAAGCUGUCGCUAAAGGAUGGACCCGCGGUGCAUUAGCUAGUUGGCAAGGUAAUGGCUUACCAAGGCGACGAUGCAUAGCCGAGUUGAGAGACUGAUCGGCCACAUUGGGACUGAGACACGGCCCAAACUCCUACGGGAGGCAGCAGUAGGGAAUCUUCCACAAUGGGCGAAAGCCUGAUGGAGCAACGCCGCGUGAGUGAAGAAGGUUUUCGGAUCGUAAAGCUCUGUUGUUGGUGAAGAAGGAUAGAGGUAGUAACUGGCCCCUAUUUGACGGUAAUCAACCAGAAAGUCACGGCUAACUACGUGCCAGCAGCCGCGGUAAUACGUAGGUGGCAAGCGCUGUCCGGAUUUAUUGGGCGUAAAGCGAGCGCAGGCGGAAAGAUAAGUCUGAUGUGAAAGCCCCCGGCUUAACCGAGGAAUUGCAUCGGAAACUGUGUUUCUUGAGUGCAGAAGAGGAGAGUGGAACUCCAUGUGUAGCGGUGGAAUGCGUAGAUAUAUGGAAGAACACCAGUGGCAAAGGGGGGCUCACUGGACUGUAACUGACGUUGGGGCUCGAAAGCGUGGGGGAGCAAACAGGAUUAGAUACCCUGGUAGUCCACGCCGUAAAACGAUGAUUACUAGGUGUCGGGGGGCCAAGGUCCUUCGGUGCCGGCGCAAACACAUUAAGUAAUCCACCUGGGGAGUACGUUCGCAAGAAUGAAACUCAGAGGAAUUGACGGGGACCCGCACAAGCGGUGGAGCAUGUGGUUUAAUCCGAAGCAACGCGAAGAACCUUACCCGGCCUUGACAUCCCGAUGAAUGUACAGUAAUGUGUACAGGACUUCGGUACAUCGGAGACAGGUGGUGCAUGGUUGUCGUCAGCUCGUGUCGUGAGAUGUUGGGUUAAGUCCCGCAACGAGCGCAACCCCUGCCCUCAGUAGCCAGCAGGUAAAGCUGGGAACUCUGAGGGGACUGCCCGGGAUAACCGGGAGGAAGGCGGGGAUGACGUCAAAUCAUCAUGCCCCUUAUGGCCGGGGCUACACACGUGCUACAAUGGCGGAAACAGAGGGAAGCAGCCCCGUGAGGGUGAGCGAACCCCAAAAAUACCGCCUCAGUUCGGAUUGUAGUCUGCAACCCGACUACAUGAAGCCGGAAUCGCUAGUAAUCGCGAAUCAGAAUGUCGCGGUGAAUACGUUCCCGGGUCUUGCACUCACCGCCCGUCA
rnacentral:rRNA from 1 species